GGGACUCCAGGUAAGAGCCCAGGCCAAAGGACACCUUGAUUUUGACCUUGUCAGACCUGGAAUUGAAAAACCAGCUGCACCCUUCUAGAAUUCUUACUUACAAAACUGAAGAUGUUACAGGACAAAAUGAUUUCACUGGGAGCUGAGUUUUGCCAGAUUUGGGGAAAUACUGAUGCAGAACAUCAUUUAUUGAAGGCUGAUACUUAUGGGUAGAAGAGUCAAAGUGCGAAUAUAUCCACACUUCUCUAUGGAUUCUGCAGAAAGAUAUGCUUGGGUCGUGACUCAGCUAUUUACAAAGUUGCUGGUGACUAAUUGCUGGAAAGAAGCUGUGAUGUUAUGUGGCCCCUCCAUUUUAUGUCCCCUCCCUUUAGUUCUGUAGGAAAUUGAGUUCAGGAAAGCUACUAGGAAUAAAAAUCUUAGUUUUUA
rnacentral:lncRNA from 1 species